AGCUUUCUGAAUCUGUGCCAAGGUUUCUUCACAAACCAGCCCGCAAGGACUGAUGAAAUUUUUAAGAUAAGUGGGGCA
rfam:Schistosoma mattheei strain Denwood, Zambia genome assembly, scaffold: SMTD_scaffold0015730